rfam:Oryza barthii chromosome 2, whole genome shotgun sequence.
AAAAAAGCAAACCCUGGGUUUCCGUGUCCAACUUUGGCUGUUCGUCUUAUAUGAAAUUUUUUUAUAAUUCGUAUUUUUAUUGCUGUUAGAUGAUAAAAUAUGAUUAAUAUUUUAUGCUUGACUUGUUUUUUUAAUUUUUUUCAUAAUUUUUUCAAAUAAGACGGACGGUCAAACGUUGGACACGGAAACUAGGGUUUGUCUUUUU